rnacentral:rRNA from 1 species
CCUACGGGAGGCAGCAGUGAGGAAUAUUGGACAAUGGGCGAAAGCCUGAUCCAGCCAUGCCGCGUGAGUGACGAAGGCCUUAGGGUUGUAAAGCUCUUUCAGGUGCGAAGAUAAUGACAGUAACACCAGAAGAAGCCCCGGCUAAAUUCGUGCCAGCAGCCGCGGUAAU